ensembl:lncRNA
CUCGUGUUGGAAUCUCCCUUCCACUUAACGUACUUAGAGGUCUUCAUGUUUUAAAUUGUCAGUAUGACUUCUGGAAGAAUCUCUGUAGGCAUUCUGAGCAAUGCCUUCACUGAAGCAUUGCUCCCUCCAGGAUCUUUCUGUACCUAAGAGCUGAAUGGCACGGUUUAUUUUGGGAAAAAAAUAACUGACUCUGAGCUCAAGUGAUCAAUGAUAUAUCAUAGAUUAUCUUUCCUUUAACAGCUGAACCUCAGCUCAUCGUAUCCCUGCGACAGUCCCCGUGACUGUGCCCCUAAGAGGCAGAUCAUCACACAGAAGUUUCAGCAGCUCUGUGUCUGAUUACCAAUAGGACUGAACUCGGAGACGGUUAUGCGAGAUUGUGCAAUCAGAAUUUUACACAGGAACAGAUCUUCUGAUCACGACUGCUCUUGAACCUUUGGCUAUCAUUUCUGCAUUCGUCAGUGAUGAGCACCCCCCUGCCUUCUCGCUGCCACCCGUGGCCAUUGUGAGAAAAGCGAUUGAUUCCAUGCCCACGAGGAAUGUUUUCUGUCUCUCUCUCUUGAAGAUUGGCUGGAGAAGGCAUGCUGUUGGAAGAGCCUGUUGGUUUGGCUGGGCAAGGACCACCCCAGGACUGCCUGGCAUGUGGCAUGAAGCUUGUAAGGAGAAAUCACCAGCCUUCUCAGGAAACAGCUGUAUUAGCAGGUAAUGAUAUAGCUGAGCAAAGCACAGACACUGGAAGCAGACAUAGCUGAGUUGGGAUGCUGACUCACCUUGAACCCUUGGAGUCUCGGUUUACUAGAAAAACUGAAAGAAUGUCUACUUUGCAGGAUUACAAUGAGAAAUGACUGUAGCAUCCACCUUUUCACCUAUCACCCAUUUUUAAUAAUCCGCUCUGCAACAGGGAACAUAGUAAGAUGCUAGAGAUAUUUAGAGGCGAAAGGCCAAUUCCCAGUAUUUAAGAAGUUUACUGCGCCAGUGAAGGACAGGCAAGUAAACAAAUGAGAAAAAAUGGGCUAAGUAUGUGUUAGGGCACCGAGGAAGCUAAAAACGUGUGCAUGUUUCAUAACUCAGUUGAUCAGUGGUCAGUAGAGUCCCUUCUCCUAUCACCAUCUUUUUUAAAAAUUUCUAUCUGCUUUUUUUCAUCUCUGGUUUUCCAGGAUACUCAGUGGCCCUAAGGUUGCCAGGAGGAGAGCUGGCCUUUUAUCAGAACCUCAUGGAGAGGGGACAAACACUCCCCUCUUCUCACUAACCUCCCCUCCCCUCUCCUUUGCUUGGAGUUGCUCGAGUGCCAACCAAAGACUGGCAUUUCUUAGUACCUGCCAAAGCCUCUUCCCAGCCGAUCUUUGCCAUCUUUAGUUUCUAUUAAGGCAAGGUCUCUUGGCAACGGUACCCUAGAAAUCUGAGGCCAAUUUCUCACCAAUUAGACUGGGAAGUCACAAGUCAGAAACAUCCAGAUUUCUGUUGGCUCCCAUUCAGCUGUGUUCGAUGAUGUUUGCCUCCAUGGAGCCAGUCAGACAGCCUAGAAAGCCUUCCUCCAGUGCCCAGGGCACCGGUUUCUUUUUCCCUCUGACCAGGUAGCUGCUUUCUGAUUGCUUCCCACCUAGUUGGGGGAGAAGCGGAGGUGGCCAGAGACGCCCGCCAGGGGACAGAGGGAAAAUUGGUGGAGGCCAUCUCACUCCGAGGAACUUAGAUGGAGAACCUCCCAGUUCAAGAGAAAGUUGCCCGGACUGAGGGCAGGGGGAAGGCGGUUCCUUUCAGAGUUCUGCUAAUGACCUGCGGGGAAACUGCACAGCAGUCAUUUCACAGAUCCGAUGGCAGGUCACGGCGACAGAUGUUCCCAACAUAUGUGGAGAAUUAAUUACCCACUAGUAAACAAAAUCUGUGAUGCGGAGAGUCAUUUUGUCCAAAUUUCUUCCGAUUUUGCUGUUAUUAGGAGC